rnacentral:rRNA from 1 species
UCUGUAGGUGGUUUAAUAAGUCAACUGUUAAAUCUCGAGGCUCAACUUCGAAACCGCAGUCGAAACUAUUAGACUAGAGUAUAGUAGGGGUAAAGGGAAUUUCCAGUGGAGCGGUGAAAUGCGUAGAGAUUGGAAAGAACACCGAUGGCGAAGGCACUUUACUGGGCUAUUACUAACACUGAGAGACGAAAGCUAGGGUAGCAAAUG